GGGGCAUCAGUAUUCAGUUGUCAGAGGUGAAAUUCUUGGAUUUACUGAAGACUAACUACUGCGAAAGCAUUUGCCAAGGAUGUUUUCAUUAAUCAGUGAACGAAAGUUAGGGGAUCGAAGACGAUCAGAUACCGUCGUAGUCUUAACCGUAAACUAUGCCGACUAGGGAUCGGGCGAUGUUCUUUUUCUGACUCGCUCGGCACCUUACGAGAAAUCAAAGUUUUUGGGUUCUGGGGGGAUUAUGGUCGCAAGGCUGAAACUUAAAGAAAUUGACGGAAGGUCACCACCAGGCGUGGAGCCUGCGGCUUAAUUUGACUCA
rnacentral:rRNA from 1 species